rnacentral:rRNA from 1 species
CUACGGGAGGCAGCAGUGGGGAAUAUUGGACAAUGGGGGCAACCCUGAUCCAGCCAUGCCGCGUGUGUGAAGAAGGCCUUCGGGUUGUAAAGCACUUUCAGUAGGGAGGAAAGCUUGAUCGCUAAUAUCGGUCAGGAUUGACGUUACCUACAGAAGCAGCACCGGCUAACUUCGUGCCAGCAGCCGCGGUAAUACGAAGGGUGCAAGCGUUAAUCGGAAUUACUGGGCGUAAAGCGCGCGUAGGCGGUUUGAUAAGUGAGAUGUGAAAGCCCCGGGCUCAACCUGGGAACUGCAUCUCAUACUGUCAGGCUAGAGUACGGUAGAGGGGGGUAGAAUUCCACGUGUAGCGGUGAAAUGCGUAGAGAUGUGGAGGAAUACCAGUGGCGAAGGCGGCCCCCUGGAUCGAUACUGACGCUGAGGUGCGAAAGCGUGGGGAGCAAACAGGAUUAGAUACCCGUGUAGUCC